rnacentral:rRNA from 1 species
CACGUAGGCACCAAGCGUUGUCCGGAUUUAUUGGGCGUAAAGAGCUCGUAGGCGGUUCGGUAAGUCGGGUGUGAAAACUUUGGGCUCAACCCAAAGCCUGCACCCGAUACUGCUGUGACUCGAGUCCGGUAGGGGAGUGGGGAAUUCCUGGUGUAGCGGUGGAAUGCGCAGAUAUCAGGAGGAACACCGGUGGCGAAGGCGGGUCUCUGGGCAGUAACUGACGCUGAGGAGCGAAAGCGUGGGGAGCGAACAGG